rnacentral:rRNA from 1 species
UACGUAGGUGGCAAGCGUUGUCCGGAUUUACUGGGCGUAAAGGGCGUGCAGGCGGUCUGUUAAGUCUAGGGUGAAAGCUCCCGGCUCAACUGGGAGAGGUCCUUGGAUACUGGCGGACUUGAGGGAGGCAGAGGAGUAUGGAAUUCCCGGUGUAGUGGUGAUAUGCGUAGAUAUCGGGAGGAACACCAGUGGCGAAGGCGGUACUCUGGGCCAUUACUGACGCUGAGGAGCGAAAGCGUGGGGAGCGAACAGG